UUAUUUUCUUUUUUUCAUCACAUUUGAGAGUUAGUAUUAGAGAAUUCUGUAAGUUUUGAGGGGUUUUGACAAAAGCUCCUGUUUUGGAGGUUUUUUUUUUUUUUUUGGAUUUGGGUGGGAAAAAAAGGGCAAUUUUUUUUGGUGAUGGAGGUUCUCCCAUGGAUGCUCUGUGAUUCAAAUUCCUCAACCUGCAGAAAGUCUCUCCAAAUGGGUUUCUGAACAUGGAAGCGAAUGCUUUUUCUGAAAGUAUGGAAAGACAUAUGGUUUGUAGAAGCAGAUAGUGGCAGUUGAAUUAUCAUUUGUAGGCUAUUUGUCGCAAUUAGCAAACUGAAAGAAAAGAGUGGUGUAGUGAAAAGAAAGAAGUGAGAGCGAAAGUGAGAGAGAGAAAGAUGGAGUGCAAUAAAGAUGAGGCCAGCAGGGCAAAGGAAAUUGCUGAAAAGAAGUUUACAGCAAAGGACUUUUCUGGUGCAAAGAAAUUUGCUUUGAAGGCCCAAAAUUUGUAUCCUGGGCUUGAGGGUCUUCCCCAGAUGUUGGCAACUUUGGAUGUUUAUAUCUCUGCGGAGAACAAAAUAUGUGGGGAAGCAGACUGGUAUGGGAUCCUUGGUGUGAAUCCCUUGGCUGAUGAUGAAACAGUUAAGAAACAGUACAGAAAGUUGGCACUAAUGCUUCACCCUGACAAGAACAAAUCGGUGGGAGCAGAUGGGGCAUUUAAGCUUAUUUCAGAGGCCUGGAGUUUGUUGUCUGAUAAGACCAAGAGAAUAGCGUAUGACCAGAAAUGCAAUGUUAAAGGAUCCCAGCAGAAAGUUCCACCUUCAAGCGGAGGAACAUCAAUACCACCUGGUGCGAAUGGUUUUUAUAAUUUUACCAACACAACCACCUCAAAGGCUAAAACUCAGAAAAGUGCUGCUCGAGCCCCAACACCAGUGCCUGCUUCAUCACGUGCUCCAAAACCAAAUACAUUUUGGACUGCAUGCAAUCGCUGCAAAAUGCAAUAUGAGUAUCUCAGGGUGUAUCUCAAUCACAAUCUUCUUUGCCCCAAUUGUUCCGAGCCCUUUUAUGCAGUGGAGACGGCUCCCCCACCUUCAAAUGGUUCUAGUGCUCCCACAUCGUGGAAUUUCUCUCAGCAGCGUCAGAAUUCAAACCAUCAUACGGACAACAAGAAUGCCUAUCCUUCUGGAAGGAACACUGCUGCUUCUCCCAACAUGGUACCAGGGGGGGUUUCAGGCCUCCAUUCAUUCAAUCACACAAACUUCCAGUGGGGUCCAUUCUCUAGAACAGCUGGUGUUGGUUGUGCAACUGCCUCAGCUUCUGCUGCUGCUCAAGCUGCAAGUGUGGUUCAGCAGACUUAUGAGAAAGUUAGAAGAGAGCGUGAGGAGGCUCAGGCAGCUGCGAGAAGAGAUGAGGCGCUUCGGAAGAAGAACCAUGUCUCUAAGAGGAUGGGUAGUGGUAUAUCUACUGGAUUUCCUAAUUCUGGUUCUAGUGCUGUUCUCAAAGGAGAGAGACCUGUGAAAAAAAGAAGAGGCAUAGAUGGUGAAGGAGGAAACACUUUUGGAUGUGAGGGGGCACCUCAAACUCCCACAGGAACUGGAGGAGCCGGAUUAGUAAGUGGAGUCGGAUUUUUUAAACAGGGUAAUUCUGAAAUGGAAAGGGUUACUGGUUUAUCCGGUACUAGUAAGCCUAAUGGUCUAAGGGAGUUGUCACAACUAGAACUCAAAACUAUAUUGAUGGAGAAGGCACGGGCAGAAAUUUGCAAGAAGUUAAAUGAAUGGAGUUCAGCUGCUGACAAGAAGAAAGAGAAAGAAAAGGAGAAGGAAAAAGAUGCUGUAAAUGGUGGGACACCUGAUCAAAAUGAGGCAGUUGGCAAAUAUGUGGAUUCCAAGAAGAAAAUAUAUUCUGACAAGAUUUCAUCUGGAACUUCUGGUGCUGAUUUGGAUACAGAAGCCGUUGAAUCCAUGUCAAUCAAUGUUCCAGAUCCAGAUUUUCAUGAUUUUGACAAGGAUAGAUCGGAAAGAUCAUUUGGUGAUACUCAAGUCUGGGCUGCAUAUGAUGAUGAUGACGGGAUGCCUCGUUAUUAUGCCAUGAUUCAUAAUGUGAUAUCAUUGAACCCAUUCAAGAUGCGUAUCAGUUGGCUGAAUUCCAAAAGUAAUAGUGAGCUGGGUCAACUAAACUGGGUUGGUUCUGGCUUCGCGAAAACUUGUGGGGAUUUCAGGGUAGGAAAAUAUGAAGUCAAUGAGUCACUCAAUUCUUUCUCACACAGGGUGAGAUGGACAAAAGGCACACGUGGAGCCAUCCGAAUAUUUCCCAAGAAAGGUGAUGUUUGGGCCCUCUAUAGGAAUUGGUCUCCCGACUGGGAUGAGCUUAUCCCUGAUGAAGUGAUACACAAGUAUGACAUGGUUGAGGUGCUGGAUGAUUAUCAUGAGGAGCAUGGUGUAACUAUUACUCCUCUAGUUAAAGUUGCUGGAUUCAAGACUGUUUUCCACACACAUUUGGAUACAAGAGAAGUCAAAAGGAUACCAAGAGAGGAGAUGUUUCGGUUCUCGCAUCAGGUUCCUUCUUACAUGCUUACAGGUCAAGAAGGUCCGAAUGCUCCUAAGGGUUGCCAGGAGCUGGACCCAGCAGCUACUCCAUUAGAACUUCUUCAGGUGAUAACAGAUGUCAAGGAAGAAGAGAUGGUUACUGAAAAAGCUGAGGGAGAACAUAUGGUAGAGAACCUCCAAAAUGAUGAGGAAGAGAUUGUGAAGAAUGUCAAAGAAGCUGAGACAGAAAAGAUGGUGGAGAAGGCUGAAGAACGGCUAUCUCGUUGAGUUUUGGAAUAUGUGGGCGUGACCAAAGUAGUGGAAAUUGACCUUUUGAUGUAAAAUUAGACCAAAUCAAUCCAACAUUUUGUGGGUUUCUGUGGCCGUUUGCUGCUGGGAUUGGAGAAUUUCAUCUGGAGUCACAUGUAAACACUGUGGAGCUUCUUUCAAGGAUCUGCUAGUGGGUUCUGAAUUUUCUUCCCUACAAGAGCUGGUUUUGACCCCAAAAGAGCAAUUUGUCUAGCAGUUGCAGCCGAUAAAACACAGCCCCACCUCAGCUGCCAAAUUUUUUCAUCUACUUUACCAUGGUUUAAUUGCUCUAUUUCUUGUUCUUAUGGUAGAAUAUGAGGAAAUUGCAGCUUUUUCUUCUCUGUCUGAAGUCUGAUAUUUUUGUUGGUUCUGAUUACAGAUCCAAAAGAAAUAGUGUAGAAUAUAAGCUGAUUUCAAUUUAUUGCUCAA